AGUGAACGCUGGCGGUAGGCCUAACACAUGCAAGUCGAACGGCAGCACAGUAAGAUCUUGCUCUUACGGGUGGCGAGUGGCGGACGGGUGAGGAAUACAUCGGAAUCUACUUUUUCGUGGGGGAUAACGUAGGGAAACUUACGCUAAUACCUCAUAUGACCUACGGGUUAAAGCAGUGGAUCUUCGGACCUUGCGCGAUUGUAUGAGCCGAUGUCGGAUUAGCUAGUUGGCGGGGUAAAGGCACACCAAGGCGACGAUCCGUAGCUGGUCUGAGAGGAUGAUCGGCCACACUGGAACUGAGACACGGUCCAGACUCCUACGGGAGGCAGCAGUGGGGAAUCUUGGGCAAUGGGCGCAAGCCUGAUCCAGCCAUACCGCGUGAGUGAAGAAGGCCUUCGGGUUGUAAAGCCCUUUUGUUGGGAAAGAAAAGCAGCGGGUUAAUACCCCGCUGUUCUGACGGUACCCAAAGAAUAAGCACCGGCUAACUUCGUG
rnacentral:rRNA from 1 species